CAGGAUGAACGCUGGCGGCGUGCCUAAUACAUGCAAGUCGAACGAAGAGUGUAGCAAUAUGCUCUUAGUGGCGAACGGGUGAGUAACACGUGGGUGACCUACCCCAAAGUGUGGAAUAACUCCUCGAAAGAGGUGCUAAUACCGCAUGUGGUCCUAGAGAUUAGAGGCUUAGGGACUAAAGACUUCGGUCGCUUUGGGAGGGGCCCGCGGCCCAUCAGCUAGUUGGUGAGGUAAUGGCUCACCAAGGCAGUGACGGGUAGGGGACUUGAGAGGGUGACCCCCCACACUGGAACUGAAACACGGUCCAGACACCUACGGGUGGCAGCAGUAGGGAAUAUUGGUCAAUGGGCGAAAGCCUGAACCAGCAACGCCGCGUGCGCGAUGAAGGCCUUCGGGUCGUAAAGCGCUUUUGGGAGGGAUGAAAAUGACAGUACCUCCCGAAUAAGGAUCGGCUAACUACGUGCCAGCAGCCGCGGUAA
rnacentral:rRNA from 1 species